UGCAUCCCACCAAGUGCUUAACAAGAAAUAACUGUUUAAUAGAUCCCUGAGCCACCACGCUCGGGGAAGCAUGACUUCUACAACCAGGUGUGGUAGGGAUCUUGAGGCAUCUCAUCCCACAGAUGUCUUCAGAAGCAGCCGAUGGGGAACCACAGCCAAGGCCUUGCUGAAGCAGCACAGCCUAUCAAUGAUUCCACAGCUCAAAGGGUCCUGAGACCUCAGCCCAACCAAGUCCACCACAGACUGCAAAGUGCUUCUACAUCCGUUUCCUCGGAUGCACAGCUGGCAUUGACGGCACAGGACAGAAUGUGUGGGAACACACUCUGAACACUGUAAAGCACUGUGCAC